rnacentral:lncRNA from 1 species
CAAUUCCUCAUGUUUCCGCUAAUCUGGAACCGUGUGUGCGCUGCGGUUGCCCAUCUUGGAAACCCAGACUUCCCUGCUGACAGUCAAAAGGAAUUAGUCAUGUGGUUGUUCGGAAUGUGCAAUCACCUGAGACUAAAAUGACCUCACCAGAGUAAACGACAGAGCACAACAUACCCGUAAUACAGGAUUUGCAGGGGAGAAUGAACUAUGUACUAGCGUUUUGCCAUUCUUGCCCCACCCUCGCCUGCCACCAAUGAGCUUUUUCUUUUGUGAUGGGAUUUCAUGAUAUAGACCAUGCUGGUCUGUAAUCUACAGUCAUCUUGCCACAGGCUCCAGAUGCUAGGACUACAGAGCCUAAAAUCAGCCAGAUGAUCCAGGAAACUCUGGGAGUCCUGAUUCGCUUCCAAAGGCAAUUUGUUCUUCAUUGCCUGCUGCAUGGAUUGCUGUUUCAAUUAAGGUUUUCCAUGUUUCACAUAAAAGCAUGCACAGAGACUUAAAGAAUCAAUUUCAGUAUCACGGGUUUAUACACACAAAUCACCUUGCUUUCCCUGGUUCUCUUUCUUUCUUCUCUCCCUGGCUCCACCCUAUCCCCCAAUUCCAUUAAUAUUCAUUUUAAAAUAAAACACUUUGAUGUGUAUGUUGGUAAAAUCUUUUAACAUUUUUCUUUCUCUAAAUUUUAUAUUAUGAUCACCAAGAUGUCCCAUGAUUGUAAACAUUUUGCAAAUUUCACAGUAUAUUAA